rnacentral:rRNA from 1 species
UAUUAGCUAGUUGGUGAGGUAACGGCUUACCAAGGCAAAGAUGGCUAGCGGGUGUGAGAGCACGACCCGCGCCACUGGCACUGAGACACUGGCCAGACACCUACGGGUGGCUGCAGUCGAGGAUCUUCGUCAAUGGGCGCAAGCCUGAACGAGCGACGCCGCGUGCGCGAUGAAGGCCUUCGGGUUGUAAAGCGCGAAAGUGGAGAGAAAGGGCAACUUGAUCAAUCCACAGUAAGGACGGGCUAAGUUCGUGCCAGCAGCCGCGGUAAGACGAACUGUCCUAACGUUGUUCGGAAUCACUGGGCUUAAAGGGCGCGUAGGCGGUCCAACAAGUCGGGGGUGAAAUCCUGCAGCUCAACUGCAGAAGUGCCUUCGAUACUGUUGGUCUCGAGGGAGAUAGGGGUGUGCGGAACUUCCAGUGGAGCGGUGAAAUGCGUUGAUAUUGGAAGGAACGCCGGAGGCGAAAGCGGCGCACUGGAUCUCUUCUGACGCUGAGGCGUGAAAGCUAGGGGAGCAAACGGGAUUAGAUACCCCGGUAGUCCUAGCCCUAAACGAUGAGUACUAGAUUGUAGACUUAUCAUGGGUUUACAGUCGAAGCAAAAGUGUUAAGUACUCCGCCUGGGGAGUAUGGUCGCAAGGCUG